UGUUGCCCUCCAUUUUCCCUGCGAUGCCACUCUACGCCGUUGAUUCCACGCCACCCAUCUCCUCCCCAAGUCCUGCACUCUCCCAAUUUCUCGCCCUCGUCCUGCGAUAGGCCUUCUUCUGCUUCGACAGCGGCGCUCCGUCCGGCAUCUGGCCUUAUCGCUGACGCGUUGCCUCCGCGACAGCCCUUCACGGCACGGUGCUAGGAGCCCGGGCGGCUUCUAGUGCUGGUGGCCCGUCGAGCAGCAGCCCCAGGACGAGGCAGUCGAGUUCGCCGUCAUGGGUCUGUGGCGCUCAGCUCGGCGCGGCGCACCCCUCCCCUGGCGACAUCCUCCGUCGGCGACGCCUCCUCCCUACCACGGCUCCCGGCGGCGUCCCCCCUACUGGCUUGGUCCUAGAAUGCUGCUUCCCCACUAGCAGCGGUGGCGACGACGACAACCCCUUUCACAUCGUGGGCGCGGCUCCCCGGCCUUGACGGCCCCUCCUCGGCCUUGGUGGUGAGAUCCUCUAUCUCCGCACGCAACCGUCCAACAGCUGCUUUGUAACACCCAAAAUUUGAUUUGUAAUUAAUAGGAUUUAAUUUGUUUUAUUUAAGUAUUUUCGUGAGCAUUUGAAUCUAGCAAAUAAAUAAUUUUAUGAAAAUUAAAAUUCAUCAUAAGUUUAGAAAUAUGGUUUUGCAUUCAUGCUGGAGCAUGGUGUUUUUGUGUGUUGUUUCUGUUUUUAUUUUAUUUGUUUUUGCAUUCAAAAUUCUCUUUAGAAAAAGGCUUUGGAAAAAUAAAAUGGAAAAGAAAAACAAAAAAAAGAAGCCAGCGCUGCCGCAGCAGGCGGCCCAGCCAGCCCUCCCUCAGCCUGUUUCCCUCCCUCCCCCCGCCUCGGCCCAGGAGUCGGCCCAACCGCGCUGAUCCCCCUCCCCCUUUUCUUUCUCUGGCUGGCGAGCAGGCCCCAUCCCUUCUCUCUCUGCCGCACUGGCCCCACACGUCAGCCCUCCUCCUCCAUCCUCCCUGCCGUGCUCGAGCAGGAAACGAUCCCUCACCGAAUCGAAUCCGUAGAGCCUGAUUUCCUUGCCUAACGCGAAAACCGACUUCUAUAAAACCCCCAGCGUCGCCCCCGUGUGUUGUUUUCCAUCCCCGACGCAAGUUUAGGGCCCUAGCCGCACCUGUCGAGGUGUGCCGGGAUCUCACCGUGUCGAGCUCCAUCCGCCGUCGAGGCACGCCCUCCCUGCCCCCUCUUCGCUCGAGUGAAGUGUUGUGGUGAGUUCGCGUGAAGCCUCUCUAUGUUUCCAUGUACUCGGUUCUGUUUUUGGUGCACAGAAUAGAGAAAUCAGCGGCGCCGGUGAGCUUCAAGGGCUCCGGCCAUGGCGCCACCGCGCCGGAGCUAACAGCCGGCGGCCGGCCGCCGCCCUUUUCUCCCUGGUUGAAUCGUGACCGUCGGAUCGAGAUCUAAGGGCCGAAAAUAAAACAUACCCCUUCGGCUGCGUUUUUCAUAAAGAGCCCCUGGAGAUUUCGGUAUUAAACCCGCGGUCCUUUGCGGUUUUCCUCAGUUUACGCUUCUUAGUUUUUGAAAACGUAUUUCGUUUCGGCUGAGUCAGAUUACGCUUUCGGUUAUUUACAAUUUUGCCAUCGAUUUUAUAAUGCUCAUAAAAUAUUUAUUUUAACUCCGUUUUUGUCCAUUCAAAUUUCGUUAGAUUCGUAUUUACGAGCUCUACAUGUUAGAAGUAUUAGUUUACUGUUUUGAAACUUUUUAAUUUCCUGGUAACAUUUAAUUAAUUAUUUCUCUAUAGGAAAUAUUGAAAAAUGCAUAACUUCUCCGUUUUAAUUCCGAUUUUCGUGAACUUUACGUUUGUGUGAUCGUAGCACUGCGUAGAACAUUUUUAUAAACUUUUAUCUUUGUUUUACCACUGUUUGGUGUAAUAUUCUAAUUAUAUCUUCUUUGCUUUGUGUAUGAUUAUCUCCAAUGGAUUGCGUGUUGUUGAUUGAUGUUUGGGAAUAGACGGUGAGCCGUACGUUGGUGAGCAAGACCAAGCCGUACGUUGGUGAGCAAGACCAAGCCUUUGAGCACCAGCAAGCUUAGGAGAGUUUUGAGCAAGGCAAGUAUAACUUGGGAUCAUCCUUGUUACCUAUUCACUAUUAACUACACAUAUAUGUCAUAUGCAUGCUAUCACCUUGUCGACCUUAGCAAAAUCAUAGAUGAUUGUUAUCUGGAUUCCUUGUUACCUACUUGAUAUGCAUUUGGUGUAGAUGUGCUAGUGCUUGAUAUAAUCCAUGAUCUUGUAAGAUGAUUAUUAGCUAUGCAAUGGACAUAAAAGAAUGACAAAUAACUGUAUGAGAUCUUGUCUAGUCUGUACGUGAUCACCCGGGACAACAGUGCAACCAUGAGGGCUAUAAUGGCUCUGGCUUUAGCUCAGUAUGAAGACCUUUUCUAGCUUGUUAGAGGUUACCCGAAAGGGCGGAGGGGCUGAACCGUUUUGGGUAUAGUGUGAGCCCCUGUCCCUAUGUGUAUAGGCUGCGCGUCAUUGUGCCAUUCGGAAGGGGGGUAUCUAUAUCUACGCGCAAAGGAAACCUUACGGCCCUAACAUGUUAGACGAACUUUUGAAAGGCUUCAUAGUGAUCCCUGCCGACCUCCCUAGGAAGGGGGUUAGGAGACUAGCUACCUCGGGCGAAAGGGUAAAUCAUGACUCAUGGGUAAAGAUGUACAACCUCUGCAGAGUGUAAAACUGGUAUACUAGACGAGCUCACGGUCAGGAGUGGCCUUGGGGACAUCUACAUUAAGAUGAUGAACUUGUUAUGUUAUUAUGUUCAUUUGAUUGUCGUUUAUGCUAAGAGUCAAAUAUGCUUACAACUGAUCAUGAGAUUAUUGGGUUAUUUAUGCUGCCUUGACUUUUGCUAUUUAAUUAUGGACAUGCUAUCCACUAUUAAAAGCUAAAUGCAGUCAAACCAGUGUCAGCUAUUUGAGCCUCAUGAACCCCUGGUUAUACUUGUUGAGUACGAUAUGUGCUCACUCUUGCAAUUUCCCAACACCUCAGGAUAUGAUAAUGAAGAUGACUAGAAUGAGGAUUACCGUUAUGAGUACUAGGUUUGGAGUCAACCAGUCAACAGUGUCCCUGUGUGGAGCUUCCGUCGAGAGCGUUGUUUACUUCAUGCUAUCAUUUUUGUAUGAGACUAUGUGAUAUUUUAUAUUCCGCUAUGUAAUAAACACUGCAAUGGUACAUUUGAGAUUUGUCUACUUAUGUGUGCGACUGUUUCUGGGGUACAUAUGAGUCUUUUAUGCAUCCUAUUUUGUUCUUAAAAUAUGGGUGUGACAAAUUGGUAUCAAAGCUUUGUUGACUGUCGGACGCAAGCCUAGUUAGAAAUUGGCCGUCUUAAGGUUUUGAAAUUGCUAUAAAAUCCUUGUUCUAUAAACCUUCAUAUUUUCUCCUAUACUAUAUCCUUUCCAUUGGUAUUCAUCUUCACCUUGUUGCUUAUUUUAAAGACUUGUUCUCAUCCCCACUCCUUGCUUGAUAUGCUUUUAGAACUUUUCUUACCACCUUCUAACGUCAUUGAAAUAGGAGUUAUAGGAUCUUCACCCAUAAUAGGAAGAGAACAUUAGUACCGCAAGUUGAGUCAAUGCUUGAAGUGUGAACUUUUGAUGCUUGGUUUGGUUUGUUAUUAUGCUUAUGCUUGAUUUGGAUUUUUGUAAUGAGUGAUGAAACCUUGUGGGCAUAUCCACAAGUUCCCUAGUUAAGAACCUUAAGUAAGAACAUGAAUAAAUAGUGGUUUGGGGUCAUAUCCUGUUUCUGUCCUUCGCUGUUUUUCUGGAGCAGUCUGCAAAGAUUCUGGUAUAAAUCAAAUUCUGUUCGUGCAAUGUUCAUCAAAUUUUUCUGCGAACAAGUAGACUUUCAUAUCUUUCCAAUUCCGCAAGAAUGACCAUAUUAUAUAUUAUGAGCUGUGAGUUAUGACUGUUUAAAGUUGAAGUUUCUGCGCAGUCUGGAAUUCUGGAACAGUUUCGGUUGUACUCUGUUUUUGAUUAACCUAACUCUGGAAUAUGUUAAUAUGAUCUAAAUGAAAGUUGUAGACAAUUUCUUUAUCUUUCCAACGGUGUACAGCAUAUAUCCUUUUGAAUUCAGGAACCCGAGAUAUGAUUGAAUUUCCAAUCUGCUGAUGUUGGAUGUUACCCAGAAAAUUUCAGAUUCCGUUAACUCUUGUAAUUGUCAUGUUGGACAUUACUAAGAUGUGUUUAUAUACCUUGGAAUGCAGAUGGCAGCAAGAGGAAGAGGCAGGGGCAGAGGCCGUGGCAAUGGCAAUGGUGGCAAUGCCCCAAUCACUGUGGAGGAACUCAUGCAAACUCAAAAUGAGAUGAUGCACGUUUUCAUGCAGCACCUACAGCAGCAACCUCCACCAACACCACCACUUGUUCAUUUGAGGGAUAAGCGUGGGGAGUUUAUGAAGGGAAGACCUCCGGUAUUUACACACUCAGCUGAUCCCAUAGAGGCAGAUGAUUGGUUACGUGCUGUGGAGAGGCAACUGAACAUAGCACAGUGCAAUGACUUGGAGAAGGUGUUGUAUGCUUCUUGACAGCUUCAAGGGGCAGCUCAAACAUGGUGGGAGUCAUAUCAAGCUGCUCGUCCCAACAAUGCUCCUCCUGUCACAUGGCUGGAAUUCUGUAGGGACUUCAGAGCUCGACAUAUAAAUGAGGGAAUGAUGGAGCUCAAGCAAGAAGAAUUCAGAUCACUCAGGAUGGGCUCCAUGAUUGUGGCAGAAUAUCAUGACACAUUUGAACAGUUGGCUCGCUAUGCUCCAAACGAUGUCAGGGAAGAUGCUGAUAAGCAGCGCUUGUUUAUGAAAGGCAUAUACUAUGAACUCAGGUUGUAGCUGGCAGGAAACACCUAUCCUACCUUCCAAGCUCUUGUGAAUCGUGCUAUCGUGCUUGAUAAUAUGCGUAAGGGUAAGGAUAAGAAGAGACUGAUGCUGGCACAAGGUUCUGGGAGCAACAACCGCCAGCGUUUCAGUUCUCAGCAAGGCUAUCAGCAGAGGUUCUAGGGACCAGUUAGUCAGUGGAACCGCAAUCAGCAACCCCAGCGUUUCCAGAAUCAGUCACAGAGUAGGAACCAACGUCCUCCAUUCCAACAACGUAACCAUAACCAACAGCAGCAUGGUCAGCAGACACCUCGCUCAGGGAACUCAAAUGCUACCUCCACGAAAAGAAGUGCUUCUAACACUCCUACAAGGUGUUUCCGUUGUGGGAAAGGGGCAUAUUCAUACGAUUGUCCAGAGAAGUUUAACAAGCAGAACAACAACCAGAAGUCUACAGCUUAUACGGCAACAGUGAAUAAUGUGGCUACAGAGACAGUUCAGGAGGGACCAGAGAUCAUGAUGGGUACGUUCAGCAUCAACUCUAUCCCUGCUACAGUUUUAUUUGAUUCUGGAGCUUCGCAUACAUUCGUAUCACAAGCAUUUGUUAGAGUUCAUAGCAUUCCACUAGUUGCAAUGAAAACCCCUAUGCUAGUUAAUUCACCGGGUGGGACUAUACCAGUUUCUUUAUGUUGCCCCUCAGCAAGUCUUUCUUUAAGGGGGGUAGAUUUUCCUAUCAGUCCCAUGGUAAUGAGAACUUUAGGCAUAGAUGUGAUCUUGGGUUUGGAUUGGAUGAAGCAACAUGACACAGAUAUUAAGUGCAAGGAGAGAGUAGUGGCUCUGACAACCCCUAAGGGAGAACGAAUCAGUGUUAAUGUAACAGUGCAAGCACCACGCACAGCCAAGGUGAACCUACUGAAUGAUGAUGUUGAUCCUUAAAAUCUGGUAGUGGAUGAGUUUCCGGAUGUCUUUCCAGAUGAAUUGCCAGGUAUGCCACCUGACCGAGACAUUGAAUUUAUUAUUGAAUUACUACCUAGUACUGCACCCAUAGCUAAAAGACCAUAUAGAAUGGGGGUUAAUGAACUAGAAGAACUUAAGAAAUAAAUUAAGGAAUUGCAAGAUAAAGGGUUCAUUCGUCCUAGUUCAUCACCAUGGGUUGCACCGGUUAUCUUUGUUGAUAAGAAGGAUGGUAGUCAGAGGAUGUGUGUUGAUUAUCGGUCACUUAAUGAGAUCACUAUCAAGAAUAAAUAUCCCUUGCCUAGGAUUGAUGACUUAUUUGAUCAGUUAAGAGGUGCUUGUGUGUUCUCUAAGAUUGAUUUGUGUUCUGGUUAUCAUCAAUUGAAGAUUCGGAAUUCAGAUAUACCAAAGACAGCUUUCACAACAAGGUAUGGGUUGGAUGAGUAUACAGUUAUGUCUUUUGGUUUGACCAAUGCACCAGCUUACUUUAUGUACAUGAUGAAUAAAGUAUUUAUGGAGUAUCUUGAUAAGUUUGUGGUGGUCUUUAUUGAUGAUAUUCUGGUAUUCUCUAAAACCAAGGAAGAACAUGCUGAGCAUUUGAGAUUGGUCUUACAGAAGCUUAGAGAACAUAAGCUAUAUGCUAAGCGUAGUAAAUGUGAGUUUUGGUUGGAGGAAGUUUCUUUUCUUGGUCAUGUUGUCUCUAAUGGUGGUAUUGUAGUGGAUCCUAGUAAGGUGAAAGAUGUGCUGAACUGGAAACCACCUACAGAUGUAAGUGAAAUUCGCAGUUUUCUUGGUUUAGCUGGUUACUAUCGUAGAUUCAUUGAAGGGUUCUCAAAACUUGCAAAGCCUAUGACUGCUCUGUUGGAGAAGAAUGCUAAGUUUGUAUGGUCUGAUAAGUGCCAAGCUAGUUUUGAGGAGUUUAAGAAGAGAUUGACUACUGCACCUGUGUUGGUAUUGCCAGAUCUGAGUAAGAGUUUCUCUAUCUAUUGUGAUGCUUCUCGUCUGGGUUUGGGUUGUGUUCUUAUGCAAGAAGGUAGAGUUGUUGCUUAUGCAUCUAGACAGUUGAGAAAACAUGAACUAAAUUAUCCUACUCAUGAUCUAGAGUUAGCAGCUGUGGUUCAUGCACUGAAGAUUUGGAGACACUAUUUGAUUGGGCAUAAGAGUGACGUAUAUACUGAUCAUAAGAGUCUAAAGUAUAUCUUCACCCAGAAAGAUUUGAAUUUGAGGCAACGAAGAUGGUUGGAACUGAUCAAGGAUUAUGAUUUGGAAGUGCAUUAUCAUCCUAGAAAGGCGAACGUCGUAGCUGAUGCACUUAGCAGGAAGAAGUAUGCUAAUGAGCUUCGGGUGACACCUGAAUCUGAGGAGUUGUGUGCUGAAUUUGCAUACUUGAACUUGGGAAUUGUAGUAAAUGCUAUGGAAAUUGAGGUCACUCCUACUCUAGAGGAAGAGAUAUUGAAAGGACAGAUGGAAGAUGAGAAACUAAAGGAGAUAGCACAGAAUGUGGUACUAGGCAAAGCACCAGGAUUCAGAAUAGAUGACAAUGGUGUAUUGUGGUUUGGAAAAAGGAUAUGUGUUCCUGAAGUGAAGGCUAUUCGUGAUAUGAUUCUGAGAGAGGCUCAUGAGUUAGCAUAUUCCAUUCAUCCUGGUAGCACUAAGAUGUAUCUAGAUCUGAAACAGAAGUACUGGUGGGAUGGCUUAAAGAGAGAUGUGGCUGAAUAUGUUGCUUUAUGUGAUACUUGUCAGCGAGUGAAAGCUGAACAUUAGAGGCUAGCUGGACUGUUGCAACCAAUGAAGAUUCCAGAAUGGAAGUGGGAAGAAGUGGGUAUGGAUUUUAUAGUGGGUUUACCACGUACACAGAGAGGGUAUGACUCAAUAUGGGUGAUAGUAGAUCGUUUGACUAAAGUGGCUCACUUCAUACCUGUUAAAACUAAGUACACUGGAGAACGCCUAGCUGAGCUGUAUAUGGAGAGAAUUGUUUGUUUGCAUGGGGUACCUAAGAAGAUUGUGUCAGAUAGGGGUACUCAAUUCACAUCUCACUUUUGGAAAGCAGUGCGUGAUUCUUUGGGAACAAAGUUGAAUUUCAGUACAGCAUAUCAUCCACAGACAGAUGGACAGACUGAGAGGAUCAAUCAGAUAUUGGAGGAUAUGUUGAGAGCUUGUGCUUUGCAGUAUGGGACUAGUUGGGACAAGAGUUUACCAUAUGCAGAAUUCUCCUACAACAACAGCUAUCAACAGAGUCUUAAGAUGGCACCGUUCGAGGCACUGUAUGGUCGUAAGUGCAGGACACCUUUGUUUUGGAAUCAGACAGGAGAAACUCAGGUGUUUGGGACAGAUGUGCUUAGACAUGCAGAACAACAAGUGCGGACAUUCAGAAAAGCUAUGCAGAUACGCGUAGGAGAGAGCUGGCUUUUGGAGUAGGUGAUUAUGUCUACCUGAAAGUGUCACCAAUGAGGAGUGUGAAGAGGUUUAAUAUGAAGGGAAAGCUAGCUCCAAGGUAUGUUGGUCCGUUUAAAGUAUUAGAAAGGCGUGGAGAAGUAGCAUAUCGGUUAGAGUUGCCUGAAAGUUUGUCUGGUGUGCAUGAUGUGUUCCAUGUGUCACAACUUAAGAAGUGUUUGCGUGUACCUGAGGAGCAACUACCAUUGGAAGAACUUUCUGUUAAAGGUGAUCUCACCUAUGAUGAGUACCCGGUCAGAAUAUUGGAGACAGCUGAGAGAGUCACCAGAAGUCGGGUCAUCAGAAUGUGCAAAGUACAGUGGAAUCGGCAUUCGGAAGCAGAGGCAACUUGGGAAAGAGAGGAUGAUCUGAGGAAAUCAUACUCAUACUUGUUUGAGUAAGCACUGUUCUAAUCUCGAGGACGAGAUUCUUUUAAGGGGGUAGAGUUUGUAACACCCAAAAUUUGAUUUGUAAUUAAUAGGAUUUAAUUUGUUUUAUUUAACUAUUUUCGUGAGCAUUUGCAUCUAGCAAAUAAAUAAUUUUGUAAAAAUUAAAAUUCAUCAUAAGUUUAGAAACAUGGUUUUGCAUUCAUGCUAGAGCAUGGUGUUUUUGUGUGUUGUUUCUAUUUUUAUUUUAUUUGUUUUUGCAUUCAAAAUUCUCUUUGGAAAAAGGCUUUGGAAAAAUAAAAUGGAAAAGAAAAACAAAAAAAAGAAGCGCCGCAGCAGGCGGCCCAGCCAGCCCCCCCUCAGCCUGUUUCCCUUCCCCCCCACCUCGGCCCAGGAGUCGGCCCAACCGCGCUGAUCCCCCUCCCCCCUUUUCUUUCUCUGGCUGGCGAGCAGGCCCCAUCCCUUCUCUCUUUGCCGCACUGGCCCCACACGUCAGCCCUCCUCCCCCUUCCUCCCUGCCGUGCUCGAGCAGAAAACGAUCCCUCACCGAAUCGAAUCCGUGGAGCCUGAUUUCCUAGCCUAACGCGAAAACCGACUUUUAUAAAACCCCCAGCGUCGCCCCCGUGUGUUGUUUUCCAUCCCCGACGCAAGUUCAGGGCCCUAGCCGCACCUGUCGAGGUGUCCCGGGAUCUCACCGUGUCGAGCUCCAUCCGCCGCCGAGGCACGCCCUCCCUGCCCCCUCUUCGCUCGAGUGAAGUGUUGUGGUGAGUUCGCGUGAAGCCCCUCUAUGUUUCCAUGUACUCGGUUCUGUUUUUGGUGCACAGAAUCGAGAAAUCAGCGGCGCCGGUGAGCUUCAAGGGCUCCGGCCAUGGCGCCACCGCGCCGGAGCUAACAGCCGGCGGCCGGCCACCGCCCUUUUCUCCCUGGUUGAAUCGUGACCGUCGGAUCGAGAUCUAAGGGCCGAAAAUAAAACAUACCCCUUCGGCUGCGUUUUUCAUAAAGAGCCCCUGGAGAUUUCGGUAUUAAACCCGCGGUCCUUUGCGGUUUUCCUCAGUUUACGCUUCUUAGUUUUUGAAAACGUAUUUCGUUUUGGCUGAGUCAGAUUACGCUUUCGGUUAUUUACAGUUUUGCCAUCGAUUUUAUAAUGCUCAUAAAAUAUUCAUUUUAACUCCGUUUUUGUCCAUUCAAAUUUCGUUAGAUUUGUAUUUAUGAGCUCUACAUGUUAGGAGUAUUAGUUUACUGUUUUGAAACUUUUUAAUUUCCUGGUACCAUUUAAUUAAUUAUUUCUCUCUAGGAAAUAUUGGAAAAUGCAUAACUUCUCCGUUUUAAUUCCGAUUUUCGUGAACUUUACGUUUGUGUGAUCGUAGUGCUGCGUAGAACAUUUUUAUAAACUUUUAUCUUUGUUUUACCACUGUUUGGUGUAAUGUUCUAAUUAUAUCUUGUUUGCUUUGUGUAUGAUUGUCUCCAUUGGAUUGCGUGUUGUUGAUUGAUGUUUGGGAAUAGAUAAUGAGCUUGUUAUUAUGUUCAUUUGUUAUUAUUAUCUACAUUAAGAUAAUGAGCUUGUUAUGUUAUUAUGUUCAUUUGAUUAUCGUUUAUGCUAAGAGUUAAUUAUGCUUACAACUGAUCAUGAGAUUAUUGGGUUAUUUAUGUUGCCUUGACUUUUGCUAUUUAAUUAUGGACAUUCUAUCCACUAUUAAAAGCUAAAUGCAGUCAAACCAGUGUCAGCUAUUUGAGCCUCAUGAACCCCUGGUUAUACUUGUUGAGUACGAUAUGUGCUCACUCUUGCAAUUUUCCAACACCUCAGGAUAUGAUAAUGAAGAUGACUGGAAUGAGGAUUACCGUUAUGAGUACUAGGUUUGGAGUCAACCAGUCAACAGUGUCCCUGUGUGGAGCUUCCGUCGAGAGCGUUGUUUACUUCAUGCUAUCAUUUUUGUAUGAGACUAUGUGAUAUUUUAUAUUCCGCUAUGUAAUAAACACUGUAAUGGUACAUUUGAGAUUUGUCUACUUAUGUGUGCGAUUGUUUCUAAAGCACAUAUGAGUAUUUUAUUCAUCCUAUUUUGUUCGGUGUAA
rnacentral:lncRNA from 1 species